UUUAUGGAGAGUUUGAUCCUGGCUCAGGAUGAACGCUGGCGGCGUGCCUAAUACAUGCAAGUCGAGCGNACGGACGAGAAGCUNNNNUCUNNNNUNNNNGNNGNNNNNGNGAGUAACACGUGGAUAACCUACCUAUAAGACUGGGAUAACUUCGGGAAACCGGAGCUAAUACCGGAUAAUAUUUUGAACCGCAUGGUUCAAAAGUGAAAGACGGUCUUGCUGUCACUUAUAGAUGGAUCCGCGCUGCAUUAGCUAGUUGGUAAGGUAACGGCUUACCAAGGCAACGAUGCAUAGCCGACCUGAGAGGGUGAUCGGCCACACUGGAACUGAGACACGGUCCAGACUCCUACGGGAGGCAGCAGUAGGGAAUCUUCCGCAAUGGGCGAAAGCCUGACGGAGCAACGCCGCGUGAGUGAUGAAGGUCUUCGGAUCGUAAAACUCUGUUAUUAGGGAAGAACAUAUGUGUAAGUAACUGUGCACAUCUUGACGGUACCUAAUCAGAAAGCCACGGCUAACUACGUGCCAGCAGCCGCGGUAAUACGUAGGUGGCAAGCGUUAUCCGGAAUUAUUGGGCGUAAAGCGCGCGUAGGCGGUUUUUUAAGUCUGAUGUGAAAGCCCACGGCUCAACCGUGGAGGGUCAUUGGAAACUGGAAAACUUGAGUGCAGAAGAGGAAAGUGGAAUUCCAUGUGUAGCGGUGAAAUGCGCAGAGAUAUGGAGGAACACCAGUGGCGAAGGCGACUUUCUGGUCUGUAACUGACGCUGAUGUGCGAAAGCGUGGGGAUCAAACAGGAUUAGAUACCCUGGUAGUCCACGCCGUAAACGAUGAGUGCUAAGUGUUAGGGGGUUUCCGCCCCUUAGUGCUGCAGCUAACGCAUUAAGCACUCCGCCUGGGGAGUACGACCGCAAGGUUGAAACUCAAAGGAAUUGACGGGGACCCGCACAAGCGGUGGAGCAUGUGGUUUAAUUCGAAGCAACGCGAAGAACCUUACCAAAUCUUGACAUCCUUUGACAACUCUAGAGAUAGAGCCUUCCCCUUCGGGGGACAAAGUGACAGGUGGUGCAUGGUUGUCGUCAGCUCGUGUCGUGAGAUGUUGGGUUAAGUCCCGCAACGAGCGCAACCCUUAAGCUUAGUUGCCAUCAUUAAGUUGGGCACUCUAAGUUGACUGCCGGUGACAAACCGGAGGAAGGUGGGGAUGACGUCAAAUCAUCAUGCCCCUUAUGAUUUGGGCUACACACGUGCUACAAUGGACAAUACAAAGGGCAGCGAAACCGCGAGGUCAAGCAAAUCCCAUAAAGUUGUUCUCAGUUCGGAUUGUAGUCUGCAACUCGACUACAUGAAGCUGGAAUCGCUAGUAAUCGUAGAUCAGCAUGCUACGGUGAAUACGUUCCCGGGUCUUGUACACACCGCCCGUCACACCACGAGAGUUUGUAACACCCGAAGCCGGUGGAGUAACCUUUUAGGAGCUAGCCGUCGAAGGUGGGACAAAUGAUUGGGGUGAAGUCGUAACAAGGUAGCCGUAUCGGAAGGUGCGGCUGGAUCACCUCCUUU
rnacentral:rRNA from 1 species